AUGGAGGCUAAAUUUGUGGCAUCAUUUGAGACCACUAUUCAAUCAUUGUGGCUGCGGAAUUUUGUGUCAUGCCUUCAAAUUAUUGGUAAUACUGAAAGGCCAUUGAGGAUUUAUUGUGAUAUUUCCGAUGUGGUCUUCUUUUCAAAGAAUGACAAGUACUCGAAAGGAGUGGAUUUGAAGUACGUAGCGGUGAAAGAAAAUGUACAAAAUCAAAAGGUACCAGUCGAGCGUAUUGAUACAAAUUUGACGCUAAAUAAAGGACUACCACCCAAGACAUUUUGUGGCCACAUCGAGAGAAUGGGUACUAUAUAA
rnacentral:rRNA from 1 species